UGUAGUUUGAAUCAGACAAUUGCGAAAGGCAGACGUAUAAUUCUAAGUUUACGUACAAAACUCACGCAGAAAUGCCGAAAAUACGAAAACUCACUCCUGCAGAAAGAUCAGUAAUAUGUAACAGAAGAAUGUAAGGAGAUUCUUUGAGGAAGAUUGUAGUGAGGUUUAAUAUUUCCGCGGAAGGUGUUAGGAAGAUCAUAAAUAGAUUAGAAAAAAAUGGAACUGCAGAAAGUCCGCCAAAAUCUGGAAAUUCACGAAAAACAACACCCAGACAAAAUAGUAUUACUUUACGAGAAGUUUGUAAAAACCGUUUCAUUUCGACCAAACAAUUAAACUCUGAUUUCAAUUUACCGAUUCAGGAAACUCAAAUUUGAAGACAAAUAAAAGAAGUAAAAUUGCACAGGUAUGUCAACAUACUUUCCGUGGCGACUGUAUCACUGAUGGAGGUCGAUAACGAGGAUCUCACGUAGGAUCCAUCAAAACAGUUCACGUUGGUAAAUACUCGGACACUUGUUACUGUUAACAACACAGAGCGGAUUAAGCUGAAGCAAGCGACAAUGUUUUGCUCGAUCAAAAAUCAGAGAUAAUAAGCUUGAUCUACAAUACUAUCCGACAAUAAUGGUCUUUAAGUAUAUGGUUACGCGUUUUAGUAAAUAUGUAACAAUAAAAAUUUGAAUAAUUAUAUAAUAUUUAAUUAUAGUAUAACGGCAAUUUUGAUUUUACUGGAACACGGAAUUAACCAAGAUUGAAUUUGUAUGUGAUAAAUGUACAAACAAAAUACAACGUUAUGAUCUUCCAACUCAAUAUGACGUAAACAAAACCAUUAUGCAUUAAUGUUCUCUUUUUUAUUGGUUUUCAAACAAAUUGUAUAAAAUUGCAAACUACACUGUGUUAGUGGAUUUCAAAAUAAAAUUAAAUUUGAGCCUGCUAUAAAGUAUCAUGGAAAAUAUAUGUUAUUAUAUUAAAUUGAUAAUAUAAUCUUCAUUAAAUAGAACUAAAAGUAAUUUAAACUAUGUUUCUUUGAAAAAAAAGUGAAUAAACAUGUGUUAGCACACAAGUUAUCGGUUGGUAACUGUUGAUAAUAUAAAAACGGAAGUGAUGUCAUCAAUAUUAUUAAAAUUAACUGGUAGAUCUUCUUAUUAUCAAUGCACUCUUACUACUGCUACUGCUGCUACUAAUACUAAUAUAUAACAUGUUAAUGCAAAUGAAUAAGAUAAACGAGCAAAUGUUAAUGUACACUAACGAAAUACAGUAAAAUUUAAUUUCAUAAAGUUUUUACUGGCAACCUUAUCAUUUUUCUCAAUAAAACGUAUUUGUUAAAAAUUAAUAGAGAACUUUUAAAAAACUAAAAAUUCAGAAUUAAAAAACCAACUGCAUUUAUGAAACGGAAUUAAAGAUGAAACAACUGUAGAAGACAAUUCGUUACAGAAUAUCUUUAAAGAAAAUAUUCAAGAUCUUAUGAAACACACAAUAUAAACAACAGUUUUAAUUAUCUUUCUUGAUUAACUAAUUAGCAUAUUUAUUGUUAUGCAUAACAAUCUUCCACAAGAAAAUAAUUUCACUACUAUUAUUCUAAAAAUAACUAAGAGUCGCGCGCGGUAAAGUAGCUAAAAUUGAAUAA